rnacentral:lncRNA from 1 species
GGUUACAAAUGGCUCACAAGAGCUCUAUUUAUAGGUGUGGGAAGAUCUCUCUAGAUCCCACUACAUUAGUUUGUAUCUAGAAUUCUCUAAUAGCAUCUACUUAAGGAAUUCUCUAGAUACUAUAUGAAAAAUAUCUAAUCUCUAGAGUACUCAUACUUGUCAUAGGUAUUAUUUAGAAUACUCUAGAUAAAUCUAGCUACUGGUGAAUUCUCUAGAAUAUACAUAGCUUAUUCUUACUUAGAAUAUUAUAGAUAAAUACAUCACACUUCAAUACUCCUCCUUGAUGCUUUUAUCGGUUACUCCAUGCAUUCUUCGUAGAAAUUGGAAUCUGUCCCUUGGUAGUGCUUUGGUGAAGAUGUCUACUAACUGUUCUUCUGUUGGACAAUACUUCAUCUCGAUAAUUCCUUUGGCUUGGACAUCUCUCACGAAGUGAUACUUGAUGUCGAUGUGCUUGGUGCGAUUGUGCUGAACUGGAUUCUUAGCAAUUGCUAUUGCUGACUUGUUACCGCAGUAGAUCUCUGUCGAUGAGUCUUGCGGUUCGCCCAUAUCCGCUAGUAUUCUUCUAAGCUAUAUAGCUUGACAUGCUGCUUCGGUUGCUGCAACAUACUCAGCUUCUGCUGUUGAUAGUGCAACUGAGUCUUGCUUCUUUGAUCCCCAAGAAAAAAUUCCUAAGCCAAGCUUGAAAGCAUAACCUGAGGUGCUUUUCAUGUCAUCUUGAGAUCCAUCUCAAUCACUAUCGCUAUAUCAACUGAUCUGUGAGUCAGACUUUGGUUUGUACCAUAUACCAUAGUUCAGCGUACCUUGCAGGUAUCUGAGAAGUCUCUUUGCUACACCAUAGUGGGUCUCCUUCGGACUUUCCAUGAAUUUGGAUAGAAGGUUUGUUGCAUACUUGAUGUCAGGUCUUGUUACAGUGAAAUAUAGAAGACUCCUAAUCAAACUUCGAUAGUUGGUAGAAUCCGUCGGUCUUGACUUAUCUUCUUUUUUCAACUUCUCAUUUGGAACGAGAGGUGUAACCACUGGCUUGCAGUCUUUCAUUUUGAAAUUCUUGAGCAUAUAUUCAAUAUACUUCUUUUGUGAUAGGAAGAUGCCUUCUUCCUCUUGACUUAUCUCCAUUCCGAGAAAAUAGUGCAUUAAUCCCAAGUCCGUCAUCUCAAAGGUGCUCAUCAUGUCUCUCUUGAAAUCCUCGAUCAUUUUUGUGUUAUUCCCUGUGACAAUUAAGUCAUCAACACAAAGAGAUACAAUCAGGAUGUCUGUACCUUGAGUUUUGAUCUAUAGAGUGGCUUCGUUCUUGCUCCUCAUGAACCCUUGACCGAUGAAAUAUCCGUCUAUUUUGUUGUACUAGGCUCGUGGCGCUUGUUAGAGCCCAUAGAGUGCUUUCUUGAGGCGAAGAACUUUGCCUUCUUGUUUUGGGAAUCCUUCUGGCUGCUUCACAUAUAUCUUGUCUAUUAGAUCUCCAUUGAGAAAGGCCGAUUAACAUCAAGCUGAUAGAUUUUCCAUCUCUUAUGAGCCGCUGGAGCUAUGAGUGCUCGAAUUGUGUCCAUCCGCGCCACUGGAGCAAACGUUUCUGUGUAGUCGACUCCUGGUACUUGAGCAUAUCCUUUUGCGACAAGUUUUACAUUAUGCUUCUGGAUCGAACCAUCAGGAUUCAGCUUUGUCUUGAACACCCAUUUGACUCCAAUGACUUCCUUGUCACUUGGAAGAUCCACCAACUCCCAAGUAUCAUUCUUUUCUAUCAUUUUUAUCUCCUCAUCCAUUGCUUUAAUCCAAACUUUCUCUUUGGAUGCUUCUGCAUAGUUAUUUGGCUCCAAAGAACAAAAGUUGCAUGUCUCAUAUAUAUCAGUGGAUUCAUAUAAAUCUACUAGAGUUCUUACCCAAAAAGGUGGAGAGUCUGGUGAGGAGUCUGAGUCGGAUCCACUUGAAGUAUUGGCUUCUGAAGGGGACCUUGGUGGGCUUUGUUGAUCUUGUUCUCCAUGUUCUGUGACUUCUUUUACGAGUGUAGUUGUUUUCCGCUUUUCAACACUUUUUGUCUCCCAAUUCUAAGAGGCUUGUUCGUCAAAUUCCACGUCUCGACUUAUCACCAGCUUCUUGGUCUCAAGAUUGUAGAUUCUAUACCCCUUGAAUUUAGAGCUAUAGCCGAGGGAAUAUGGAUGUAGCAUAUACUUCCAAAGACCCUCAAAUGUUUGGCUGAAGGCUUUUGUCCUGACCAAGCUUCGUUUGACGUCUUGUUUAGCACGGCCUUUGUUGGACAUCAGUUGAGUAGGUAGACCGAUGUAUAUACUGCCUCCGCCCAGAGCUUUUUUGGCAAUCCUUUCUCCGCCAGCAUGGAUCUCGCCAUCUCCAUGACUGUUCGAUUCUUUCUUUCUGACACACCGUUUUGUUGUGGAUCCGUUAGUUGAUGCUCCACACCUUCAUCUUCACAGAACUUGACGAACUCUUUCAAGUUGUAUUCGGUACCUCGAUCGCUUCUUAGCUUCUUUAUUUUGCGUACCUACUUUGUNCCGUUUUGUUGUGGAGUGUAGGCCACCGUUAGUUGAUGCUCCACACCUUCAUCUUCACAGAACUUGUCGAACUCUUUUUGAGUUGUAUUCGGUACCUCGAUCGCUUCUCAGUUUCUUUAUUUUGCGACCACUUUGGUUCUCUACAAAGUUCUUGAAUCUCUUGAAGAUUCUAAAGACUUCUGAUUUUUCUUGGAGAAAAUAUACCCAAGUCAUUCUAGAGUAGUCAUCAAUAUUUGGUUUACUGAAAGUGUGCGCAUUGGACCGCAAACGUCGGUGUGGACAAGCUCUAGUAUCUCCUUAGCUCGCCAUGUUUUCUCCGUUGGAAAUGGUUGUCUGUGUUGCUUUCCGAUCAUGCAUCCUUCGCAUACACCUUCUCUUUCAUUUAGAAGAGGCAUGUCUCUCAUCAUAUUUUUCUGAUGAAGUAGCCUUAAGGCAUUUAGGUUGAAAUGCCCAAAUCUCCGGUGCCAUAGACUCGUAUCGUCGAGUUGAGCCACCAUUGCCUUUUGUGGAUAUUGCCAUUGAAUGGGAAAGUUUCUAUUUUUUUUCCCAUUUUUACUACUGCAAUAUCUUGGUUAUUUUUCUUGUCGUAAAUUCGACAAGAAUCUUUCUCAAAGUGGAGGGCAUAUCCACUUUCCAUCAUUUGGCCAACACUUAAUAGACUUUGUGCAAGACGAGGUACUAGGAGAACAUUUCUAAUAAAUCGCGUACCUUUAUUAGUUUCUAUGGCAAUUGUACCUUUCCCUUUCGUUUCCACCAGUUCUCCAUUGCCCAUCUUCACCUUCGUCUUGACUGAAGUAUCUAACUCACGGAAGAUGGUCUCGUUGGAUGUCAUGUGGUUGCUGCAUCCGCUAUCGAUGUACCAUUCUUCUUCUCCUGCUUCCGUUGCCGAGUGACAUGCAUAGAACAUGUUCUCCUUCUCAUUUUGAUUUUCUGAAUAGUUGGCUUGAUGAUUUCUUCUAUCUCUGCAAUCUUUUUCCACAUGCCCGAACCUUUUGCAGUUUUUGCACUGUGGCUUUCCUCGAUGAUAGCAGUCCUUCUCUAAGUGAUUUGUCUUCUUGCAAAUCCCACAUGGUGGAAAGUUUGCCUUACCCUCCUUGUUGUUGGAGCUUCCUUCCUUAUGAUUGGUUUUAAAAUUUCCGCCGCUUCUUGACUUAUUGCCUCUAACGUUGAGCUUGGACUGAAAGGCACUCUCUAGUAAACUUUCAUGUCGCCUACUCAAUCGUUGCUCGUGUGCUUCCAAGGAACCCAUCAGCUCCGCGACAGGCAUUUUUGACAAAUCUUUUGAUUCUUCAAUCGCCGCCACUACUGGAUCAUACUUCUCGGUAAGGCUGAUUAAGACCUUUUGUACGAUCCUUUCAUCGGAGACGUUAUCUCCGUAUGACCGCAUUUGAUUGAUUAUUUCCAUUAUUCUUGAGAAAUAAUCUUUUGCGGCUUCUGAAUCUUUCAUUUUAAGAUUCUCUAGUUCUCGCCUUAAACUUUGCAGUUUAAUGGUUCGAACUUUAACAUUUCCUUGGAACUCCUCCUUAAGGAUAUCCCAAGCUUCUUUUGCAGUAGUGGCUCGAAUAAUUCUUGCCAUGAUAGAAUCACUAACAGAUUGUUGGAGAAGAUAAAGAGCUUUAGCAUUUUGUUGCUUUAUUUUCUUACGUACCUCGGAUGAGGAUGUCUUGUCGAUAUCUUCUCCCGGCAUGGUGAUUCCUUCUUCAAUGACAUCCCAAAGAUCAUAGGAUUCAAGGCAAGUCUUCAUACGAACACUCCAAUAGUCAUAGUUUUCUCCAUUGAAUAUUGGAGUCGUGAUGGAGAGACUUGACGACGCCAUAACGCCCGCUUAUGAUCGAACAAGCUCUGAUGCCACUUGUUAGAAAAUGGAGGUGAUUAUAUAGUGGUAUGAGUGUGGUGAGUGAUUGUAGUGAAGUGGUGUAGAAAAUAUUGUGAGUGUAGUGUGUGUAGAAGAUAGAGAGAAUGAUUUUAGAGUGGAGCUCUUGUCUCCAAAGAACUUAGAUAAUAUUAGAUAGAGUGAUGUUUUUUGAGAUUGUUGAGAUUAUGUGAGAUUGGUUACAAAUGGCUCGCAAGAGCUCUAUUUAUAGGUGUGGGAAGAUCUCUCUAGAUCCCACUACAUUAGUUUGUAUCUAGAAUUUUCUACUAGCAUCUACUUAAAGAAUUCUCUAGAUACUAUAUGAAAAAUAUCUAAUCUCUAGAAUACUCAUACUUGUCCUAGUAUUAUUUAGAAUACUCUAGAUUAAUCUAGCUAGUGGUGAAUUCUCUAGAAUAUUCAUAGCUUAUUCUCACCUAGAAUAUUCUAGAUAAAUGCAUCACACUUCAAUA